CCUACGGGGGGCUGCAGUGAGGAAUAUUGGUCAAUGGGCGAGAGCCUGAACCAGCCAAGUCGCGUGAAGGAUGACGGCCCUACGGGUUGUAAACUUCUUUUGUCAGGGAGCAAUUGGGUCCAUGCGUGGUCUUAGCGAGAGUACCUGAAGAAAAAGCAUCGGCUAACUCCGUGCCAGCAGCCGCGGUAAUACGGAGGUUGCGAGCGUUAUCCGGAUUUAUUGGGUUAAAAGGGUGCGUAGGCGGAAUAUCAAGUCAGCGGUAAAAAUUCGGGGCUAAACCCCGUCGUGCCGUUGAAACUGAUGUUCUUGAGUGGGCGAGAGGUAUGCGGAAUGCGUGGUGUAGCGGUGAAAUGCAUAGAUAUCACGCAGAACUCCGAUUGCGAAGGCAGCAUACCGGCGCCCAACUGACGCUGAGGCACGAAAGCGUGGGUAUCGAACAGGAUUAGAUACCCUAGUAGUC
rnacentral:rRNA from 1 species